rnacentral:lncRNA from 1 species
GGGGUUAACGUUAAAGGGGAAAUGCAGAUGCACACACUCGCACACACACACACUCUUUGUAUGUAUAGAACUGACGGCCACCUGACUAAGAGAAACUGCAAGCAUCAAGAGAGAGCCAAAGCUUAAAGGCGCUCUCUCUCUCUGUCUCUCUCUUUGCGAAUAUUUGUUGUUGUUCCGCGUCAUUCCUUUACUUUUGUUGUCUCUCGGCUCUGACGCUUUCUUUUUGUCGCCGGCACUGUCGACGCUGUAGCGGCGCUGCAUUUCAUUUUCAAAAGUUGCACAUUGCGGUUCUUAGUGCUCUCGCGCUCCCACUGUCGCCGCUGCUGCUGCUGCCCGUUUCUUUUUCCAUCUUUGGAGUCAGGCCGUCCCCGCCUCCACGUUCGUUCUGCGUGUGUGUGUUGUGUGUGUGCAUAAUUUCGCGUAAUGACGCUGCGUCCGUUAUAUAUCGGCUCUCGGAUGGUGCCUGAAUAUUGUAUUUCCUAAAUCUUGUUGACGGCCUUUCCAUGGCACACCUCCUGGCAUCCCCGUCUGCCCGAGUGUCUGAUUUGCAUUUGGACAGGUGCGCCGAGCCGGGCCACCACGAUCAG